CACGUAGGCACCAAGCGUUGUCCGGAUUUAUUGGGCGUAAAGAGCUCGUAGGCGGCUUGUCGCGUCGACUGUGAAAUCCCGCGGCUCAACUGCGGGUCUGCAGCCGAUACGGGCAGGCUAGAAUUCGGUAGGGGAGACUGGAAUUCCUGGUGUAGCGGUGAAAUGCGCAGAUAUCAGGAGGAACACCGGUGGCGAAGGCGGGUCUCUGGGCCGAUAUUGACGCUGAGGAGCGAAAGCGUGGGGAGCGAACAGG
rnacentral:rRNA from 1 species